rnacentral:tRNA from 1 species
GGAGUCUUAGUUUAAGUUAAAAUAUCUAUGUUGCAUAUAGGUGAUGCGGUGUAGCUGCAGGCUCUA